rfam:Salmo salar isolate Sally breed double haploid chromosome ssa28, whole genome shotgun sequence.
AAUGCACCAAUUUGUAAGUCGCUCUGGAUAAGAGCGUCUGCUAAAUUACGUCAG